GUGACGGCGAGCCAAUAGAAAGAGCGGAUCGCGCUGCGGGAGGCGGGGAAGAGAGGAUGGACAGACAACUGAGCCAAUAGGAGGAGAAAUAGCUUUCCCGCCCAUUUUCUCGCCCCGCCCCGCGUGUUGUUUGUUUGUGAGGAGGAGAAGGGGGGGCCGCCAUCCGUCCGUCCCCUCAGUGGGGCGUGCGCCGCCUCCGCCUCUCGGGAGGGGCGGUGAGGGCCCAGCUCCAGGCGGGCAGCCAGAGCCGGCGUCACUGAGAGGCAGCGGGCAGCUCGCCCAGCGCCAAGGAACACCCGUGCAGAAGGAGCUGCGGAGCCACAGCUGCCCCCACGGGACGUGGGCGAGACUGUAAAACUCCAUUUGCAAAAAUCUGCUACGGUAAGGAGUGCUCGCUAGCAUGAGGAGUUCGUCACGUCGGGCGUCGUCUUUUUGCUAGUGGUAAAUCCAGGACCUGCCUUCGGCAAACGCCGGCCGCAGAGGAAGGGAAUGAGAAUCGGCCCCGCCGCCGUGGGACAGGGGACGGGGCCCCUCCGGGCGCCGGCAGCCCCGCGCUGGGCCGCGUAAAGUGCAUGGUUUGCUUUAUUUUUUUUUCUUUCUUUCAUUAAAAAAAUAAGAGGAAUAAAACUUUCUUCUUUCGUCAAGGUACUCGGGGGUGUGUGUGGGGGGGGGGAGUGAACGACGUUUUGGUCUCUCAGCAGCUAUUGCGGGAGCCAGGCCCGGCGUUCUCUCGCCGCUCUGCGUAACCGGGUGCUGCCCCAUCUCCUCGGCCCCGCGCCGCCUCCUUCCAUCCGCUCCCUUUCCUCGCCGAGCUCUGCCGUUCCCUUGCUCUGCGCCCGCAGGAGCCCACCUACCCCAGCGGGGCCGGGCUGCGCCCCACGCGCUGCAGGGAGGAAGAGGAGGGACCCACAGCGCCCAGAUCUCCUGGCACGGAGCCGAGCUGCGCUCCCAGCAGCAUCUUCUCCAUCAUCUCCAUCAUCAUCAUCAUCUUCUCCACGUUCUCCAUCUCCUCCCGGCCCCGUGGCAGAUAUCUGCUGAGAGAUGGUCGGCACGUCGCCCCGCGUACCAUCAUCAUCAUCAUCGUCGUCGUCGUCAUCACUCGCUUCACGAGGAAAAAGCCGGCGAGGUUUUUCGCCGACGAGAGGAACCGCCCCUCAGCGCAGAGCGGAGCGGCUCGGCACCGCGCCGGGGAGCAUCCAUCCCCGGGCCACUCAAUAUGAGGGCAGCGCUGCAGCCGGCUCCUGCGCCCGUUCCCCCGGCAGCACGCGGGCUCACGCGGCGUUCCCGUUUUCUCUCGGGAGG